UACGCUGAUGAUAAAAAAUAACACAGACCUGUACUGAUUUAUUAACUUACGAGUUAAUAGAUAUGCAGAUAAAAUUAUUGCCUAACACUGAAC
rnacentral:snoRNA from 1 species